GCCAGGUGCCGUGGCGCACACCUGUAAUCCCCAUGAUUCAGGAGGCUGAGGCAGGAGGAUCACAAGUUCAAAGCCAGCCUCAGCAAAAGCAAGGCACUAAGUAACUCAGUAAGACCCUGUCUCUA
rnacentral:sRNA from 1 species